GACUAACGCUGGCGGCGUGCUUAACACAUGCAAGUCGAGCGGUAAGGCCCUUUCGGGGUACGACGAGCGGCGAACGGUGAGUAACACGUGGUGACCUGCCCUCAGCUCUGGGAUAAGCCUGGGAAACCGGGUCUAAUACCGGAUAUGACUCCAUGACGCAUGUUGUGGGGUGGAAAGACCUUGUGCGGCUGAGGAUGGGCCCGCGGCCUAUCAGCUUGUUGGUGGGGUGANGGCCUACCAAGGCGACGACGGGUAGCCGGCCUGAGAGGGCGACCGGCCACACUGGGACUGAGACACGGCCCAGACUCCUACGGGAGGCAGCAGUGGGGAAUCUUGCGCAAUGGGCGAAAGCCUGACGCAGCGACGCCGCGUGAGGGAUGACGGCCU
rnacentral:rRNA from 1 species